AACAAUAACUGAAUGUUAUCUUUUAAGCUAGUAUUUCUUCUUUUUCUCUUUUAGGAAUUUAUGCCCUGUAUUACUUCCAAGAAUUUUUCUCUGCUACUUUUAAAAUGAGACUUCACGUUUCUGAGGACAGAUCCUCAUCUCCAGUGGCUGAGAGGGUACCUUUCAGUAAGGUUAUGGAGCUUAAUCCUAACAGCGCCAAAGGUCAGUUUCUUGGCCACCUAUAAAGUCGGGGCAGAAGAUCUCACGUCAAGUCUGAUUUUACAAGACAUGGUGUAAAGAAUUAGCUAUUAUCCCAGACCAUACCAAUUGUCAAAUUCUUGAUCUGAAGGUCAAAUUUUCACUAAAGUAGAAGCCAAAGUGAAAACAUCAAGUUGUAAAACUUUUGGGGCCACUUAAGUGAUUAUUUGGAUUUUGAGGACAGAUUUUACUGUAUGGAUCUCCUGUGCUCAUUUUAUUUUUCUAAUUUAAUUUCUGGGUGAGAUAAAUUAAUGGUGUUGAAAGGGGAAAAAAAGCACUGAGAAACAGGAACAGUGGAAGAGGGUGAAAAGCAGUGUCAGUGGAAAACCAGCACGGAGGAAAGCGUGUUGGUGGAGAUGCCUGCAGCCCAGCACUGCUGGCUGGUGAACGUCCGGCACUGUGAUGCAGGCCAAGCUUUCUUUUUCUUUUCCUGUGAGCAGCAGCUGGACAGAAAGCUUCCUGAGUGACAUCCUCUGGACCUCGCGAUCCUUCACCCCCCAUUCAUGGAAAAAGCUUGGAUAACAGAAAGGAGCGUGGUGUGAUCUCAUGUCCAAGAACAGAGGCUGAUCUUUGCAUGCUUAAGUGCCACUCGCUCCACGAUGGCAAAGGAGUUUUCACAGUCGAUGUCUACCAACCUGUAUGUUCUGUCGCUUAAAAUGACUCACAGGAGGAAAGAAUAUACACAACAGAGUUAUUGACCUGCGCCCAGCACUUACUACACUAUAAGGAGAGCGUAUCUCUUAUGGGAAUUAUGGUGACAAGACAAAGCUCAUCAAGCCAGUGUAGACCCUAUGAUUUACAUCAGCUACUGGCUCGUUACCCAACAGUGCUUCAUAUUCCUACAGAACAGUAGUGUUUCUACAAAGUAGAGAAGGGUUUUGCUCAAUUAAUAGUUUCUUUUCACUACCAUCCUGAGGUACAGAAAAAGAAGAUAUCAGUGCUCCAUGACUUGCAUGAAGCAUACUGCAAGAACAGAGGCACUCCAGGAAGGUGGGAAACCAGCAACCGCCCUCCCACCCCGCAGGAGGCCGAAGCGUUCAGAGGAGCCACAGGGCACAAGGGCAAUGCCAAGGGCCCAGGGGAAAAUUUCGUGUAGAGGAAAUAUAACCUUAAAACAUGAGGAUGAUAGUGAGUCAUAGCAUCAUUCAUAUUAUAUACAGCUUUGGAGGGAAAAAAUGGGUUCCUUCGUGCCCCUGCUCGGCUCUCUCAUCCAGAAGCUGUUUGAGCUCAGGAGCUGCAAACCUCCGAGUCUCCCCAUGGCUGAGCAAGUGCCAGCAGAGGCUGACAUUCACCCCAAGCGCUUGUGGCAGAUGCUCAGAAGCUCGGUCCCAGCCUUCCAAGCGCCUGGCUGUUAAGACCCUUCUUGCUGAUUUAUAAUGACACGAAGUUCUUUUUAAUUAAUCCUGAAUAUCACUCUUAAGUUCAUUACAAAAAAUUUAUGAUCUCUUAAUCAUUAUUUUAAAAAAGUUGUCAUUUUUAAUGUGUGGAAGUUACUAAGGCACCACCGUGCGUUAACCCUGGAAUAUGAAAUCCCAGAUGAGUUUGUGGAGGUAUCCUGGCUUGCCAGCAGAUGAUAAGUCAGUGCCUUUGACUGCGUAGCAAAUGGGUGUCAUUUGGGCACUUUCUGUUGGAGAAGCCAAAGGCUAAAAAUAUAUGAAAAGGACAUAUCUGAAAUUUCUUGAUACCACCCUGGAAAACUCAAACCAAAAUCUCUGGACUGUUCACCUGGAGGACAUAGUUUGCAUGUUUAUUAGUUAUACCAAAUGUGCUUACAAAAUAUUAUAUAUAAUGCCGUAAGAUCUCUGCAAACUCAAAACAGUGGUGCAUUGGUUCAUAAACACAAGUCUUUACAAGAUUCUGGUUGCAACUGAAUUGCAAGCAUAUAUACACUGCAAUUUAAUACUUCUAAAAUUAUUUAACAUAUCCCAAGCAGAAAUUUCAUAAAACAACGUAUAGAACUCUCACUCUGAAAGCAGGAAUGUUAAUUUCAGAUUGGAUCAAUGCACAGCAAGAUUGACUUGAAACUGUAAGAUUAGAACAAUGUCAGGAAACAUUGUAUUAUGUUACUGUAUCACAUAGUUCUGGAGUAUGCAUUUAUAUUUUAAAUAAGGAGCUGAUUUUAAAGGAGUAACUACAGAAAGUCUUGUAAGUUGCUGUGUGAAAAUUGUACACAAUUUUUAAACAUGUUCUUUUAGGUGGUUCAAAACAUUUAAAACAAAGUUUUAGAACUAAGCUUUAAACAAUUAUUUCAAAAGAUACAUAGAAAUUGUAUGAGGACAGUAUAUGCCUUGAUCAAAACAUUUUAGAAAUGGUUUUCCCUCUUGAGGAAGAGUUACUGACAGGAAGUGGAACCACAAAUAUUUUAGAGGGAUUAUUACAAUGGCAGAAUCCCCAAAACAGCUGCCUGUUUGAUUUCUAGGAAUGUUAAGACUAGUUCUGCUCAAGAUUUGGUAGGAUCUUAUGAAUAAAAUUAGAAUAUGAAGGUAAAGAGACAGUCUAGAGUUUAUAAAAUUUUCAUAACUUUCAGUGAAGUGGCGUUUACAGUUCCUUAAGGAGUACAGUAGGCUGAGUAGUGGGAAUAUACAGUCUAAGUAGCAAUGGGAAACCUUAAAUACCUGUGCUUGAUUUUUAAUUAAAAAUUAAUUGGUUGACAUGGCUGGAGAAGAUUGAAAGAAUAUCAUUUUCAUUUCCCCCACAUCUCCUUCUAACUUGGGAGACUCACGAUUACCAAUCUACAAAGCCAAGACUGUCCGUGCAGUAUUUACCUUGAUCCCCGGAAGUCCAGGAAGCCCAGGAAGCCCUGGUUCACCCUACACAGGAAAAUCACACGGCAUUAUAGAAGGAUACCCACUCAGUCACAAUCUCUGGCGAAAAACAUGGCAAAGCUUCCUAGCUGAAUUCUUUCUGCAUGUAUAAAUACAUUAAAAAACUGCAUUGCUUGCAGCAGUUGAAUGAAAUCAUGAAAUUCAGUCAACUCUUGAUUCAGGGUUGGGUUGACUACUUUGCAGAUCUUUCAGGAUUUUUCCUUGGCACAUCUAUCACAGCGUAUGAAAGAGAAGUGAAAGGAGAAACAAUGUCUCUACUGUACUCUCCUUCGCUAAAUGAUUCACAGGAGCUGUUUGCAGAAAGGAGGGGUCUUCAUGCCCUUCUCCACGCUGCUCUCACCUCAGAGAAUCAAGAGUUGGCUGCAUGAACAGAUGGUCACGUCCAAACACUAUACAUUAAAGUACUGCUCACUUAAAAGGCUAGUGAGAUUUCCUUUCCAUUCCUGAAUGAUGAGAAGAUAAGUAAAUGGUGAAGAUUAGACUUAACUCCCAGCCUGUAUUUCUGACAAUUGUUGAGUUGGGGCAAAGUGCUUAGCAGCUCAGGGCUAAUGGUACCAUGCAGCUGUUCCCAAAUACAGGUCUGAGAUUACGUGCUGCAUACUGGGGCGCACAGUGGAAUCAGGCGAACCCUUCUCAUUUUCACAGAAUCGUCUACAUUAUUUUAAGCACAAAGUGUAGGGAUGAGAGGUUACAUUGCUCAGAAAAUCUCCCGAAUUCCACUGAAGAAGCACAAAGGAAUUACAGGACAAAUGAAAGUCGGUUUUGGGCUGGUCGAUGCUAUAUUUGUGGAAAUAAUGCUUUAAAGGUAAUCGAAUCACAUCAUUUUGCUAAUGGUAAGUGAGUGGGUGGCAGCCACACUGGAGACAGGAGAGCAGAAGAUGGCUCUUGCUGCUUUAGAGGGAAAUCUAAGAACAAACUGGUUUUCCAUCUUUAACAUUACUUCCAAAUGACGGAGAGCUACAACUCCCUCUGAUAUUAUCACAAAAUGACUUAGUUUAUUGAACCCUAUGAUUAGACAAACGGGAGCAAUGGGCUUCUUGAUGGUUUAGAAUUCAGAAAGAUUCUUCAGGAAUGCAAAAGAAAAACUAUUCUGUCCAAACUGUAAGUGAAAGUUUGCACUGGGAAUAAGAAUAUAAUGGGGUCAAGCUAGAGAAGAAAGAAAAAUUGUUAAGAAUUUAUAUUGCAUUGAAAGACUACUUGUAAUUAAACUUACAGAAUUACAGUAUUACAGAUUUGAUUUUCUUUUUUCUUUUCCAUUCACCAUUUACUUCAUAAACUUAAGGGAAUCCAGUAGAAAGAUUUUCAAAAAUAUUACAUUAAAAGGUCUCUAUUUCUUUAAAAAACUACAAAGUCGUUGGAAACAACAAAUUGCAGUGGAUUACACAACAAAUAAAAUUGUGCACUGUUUUAGAAAAAUCUCCCGACAAUCACUUCAGAGACAUGCAAACAUAUGUAGAAACAAUAUCAUUCAUAACACUAUUUUCCAGUAAGAAUUCUCAUCACUUCCUUCCCUCCUAGCCAGAUUAAAAGAAUUGCUUAAAGAAAGACUGCAUGGGCAUGUGUAUCAUGGGUACUUACUCUGUAUUCUGACAAUGAGAAAGAUGUGUAAGACAGGAUGGAAUGUUUUACAAUAUAAGCUAAGUACAAAGAC